GCGAAAUCAAUCCAUGGUUCGCCAAAUAAUAAUUUGUUUUUAUUAAGCAUUAUUUUGUGAAGUUCCAUUCUUCCAUAGUCUGGUAGCGAACUGACAGUGACAUAAAAGACUCUUGAAAUGCAGCUACUUUGUUAAGAUACCUAGAAAUACAGGUUGUUUAUGGUCUUGGGGUUGAAACUUAAAGGGGAUGAUUGAGUGAUAGAAGAACCCCAAAACGCUAUAUAAAAUAAAAAUUGACAUUAUAAUAGAAAAUCAUUCAAUUUGCAUUAUUUGUUUGCGAACUGCUGCUUCGACUACAAUAAUUACUAUCACCUUGUGCUCUACCUGCAAGAAACGAACGUUGACAAAUUGGAUAUAACGAGGAAAACACGAAUAACGAUGAUUAUUGGUUAUUUGGUUCACUUUCUUUAUUGGAAAAUUAUUACAAAGACAUUGAAAAGCCUACCUUUUGGAACAAUUUAUGCUUAAAUGUAUCAGCAGUUGUUAAUGGUUUUGUAGAUUUACCGAAGUAUUUCAUGAUUUUUUCAGUGGAAAAAAUCUAACCUAAAAUUUUCACACUUCGCAAAUCCAUUACUAAUAAACUUUAGUUACGCAACUGUUUAAUAACACUUUGUAAUCAAAAUUUAAAUCUUUCAAAUUCAAACAAUCAACACUUUAUAUCACAAAAAACCGCGGAACCAAAGUCAAAACUAGUAUUUACCAUCACACACUUUUAAAGUGAUUCUCUCUAAUGUAAGUAAUUAACACUAUACACGUAAAAUUGUUAAACAAUUCAUUAACUGUUAAUUCAAUGUGGAAUUACGAAAAUUUCGUUACUGUUUUCGACAUAGUUCAGAAGUCAUCACCAGAGGGCGUCUAAUUAAUUUUAUUUGCGAAUAGUUCGUGUUUUUUUAUAAACAAUUGUCAGUGUCAAAAUCAGGAAAACUUAUUGUUGCAUGGCGUUAAUUGAAGAAUUUUAUGAACAAGGUGUAUAUCAGUGUAUAUCAAGUUCAGUUCAUAAUAGAAUUGCAAUGCGGGUAUUAGUUGUUUCAAAACUAUAAAAACGCCAAUGUCGCAUUUUCUCUCAAAACUAGCUGAUACAAAUUAUUCAUGCACUUCAAAAAAAUAAUAGCUAAUGAAAUUUAUAGUUUCAUUGAGAGAUCUAAUCACUAAUAACUAUUUUAGAAUUUCAUCAGUCUUAUUUAAAAAAAUAAUUUGGUAAAAUGCGACAGUGGCGUUUUUAUAGUUUUGAAACAGCUAAUACGUAAUGUAGAUCUAAUUUAUCAAUUUUCCACUUUAAAGCGAUACGAACUACUUUUAUACCAGAUUUUGACACUGACAAUUGUUUAUAAAAGAACCGGGUAAUAGUUUUGAAACAUCUAAUUCACACCUUUAUAAGCGAAAUGUCAAAGGUGCCUAAAAUCUUUUACGCGCCCCCAGGGUAGCUUAAAAAAAUGAAAAAAAGUUGCAGAAAUAAUUUAACUUGCAUCUUAACAAUGUUUGGGUGUACUAGAUUUUAUAGUUUUAGUUUAGUUAAAAAAAAAACAUUUUAAGCUAAGAAAUACAGCUUUCUUCUAAAAAAUCUUUGUCGGCAGCUAUU